rnacentral:rRNA from 1 species
ACGUGGGCAACCUGCCUGUAAGACUGGGAUAACUUCGGGAAACCGAAGCUAAUACCGGAUAGGAUCUUCUCCUUCAUGGGAGAUGAUUGAAAGAUGGUUUCGGCUAUCACUUACAGAUGGGCCCGCGGUGCAUUAGCUAGUUGGUGAGGUAACGGCUCACCAAGGCAACGAUGCAUAGCCGACCUGAGAGGGUGAUCGGCCACACUGGGACUGAGACACGGCCCAGACUCCUACGGGAGGCAGCAGUAGGGAAUCUUCCGCAAUGGACGAAAGUCUGACGGAGCAACGCCGCGUGAGUGAUGAAGGCUUUCGGGUCGUAAAACUCUGUUGUUAGGGAAGAACAAGUACAAGAGUAACUGCUUGUACCUUGACGGUACCUAACCAGAAAGCCACGGCUAACUACGUGCCAGCAGCCGCGGUAAUACGUAGGUGGCAAGCGUUAUCCGGAAUUAUUGGGCGUAAAGCGCGCGCAGGCGGUUUCUUAAGUCUGAUGUGAAAGCCCACGGCUCAACCGUGGAGGGUCAUUGGAAACUGGGGAACUUGAGUGCAGAAGAGAAAAGCGGAAUUCCACGUGUAGCGGUGAAAUGCGUAGAGAUGUGGAGGAACACCAGUGGCGAAGGCGGCUUUUUGGUCUGUAACUGACGCUGAGGCGCGAAAGCGUGGGGAGCAAACAGG